AGCCGGUCCCCUCGCAAUGACGAUCUGUAAACCCCGCCAGGCCCGGAAGGGAGCAACGGUAGCAGUAAGUUAUGUGCCGGGGUGUGGCUGGUUAGG
rfam:Cellvibrio sp. BR genomic scaffold O59_Scaffold2, whole genome shotgun sequence.